rnacentral:rRNA from 1 species
UACGAAGGGGCUAGCGUUGUUCGGAAUUACUGGGCGUAAAGGGCUCGUAGGCGGCCAACUAAGUCAGACGUGAAAUCCCCAGGCUCAACCUGGGAACUGCGUCUGAUACUGGAUGGCUUGAAUUCGGGAGAGGGAUGCAGAAUUCCAGGUGUAGCGGUGAAAUGCGUAGAUAUCAGGAGGAACACCGAUGGCGAAGGCAGUUCUCUGGGCCGUAACUGACGCUGAGGAGCGAAAGCGUGGGGAGCGAACAGG